rnacentral:rRNA from 1 species
GCAUUUACCUAUAUUGCCUUAGAAUUUUAAGCAGAGUCAGGUUGGGUUAGUACUUGAAUGGGAGACCACCCGGGGAUACCAGAUGCUGUAGGCU